CAUGCCGCUAGUGAGGGGCACUAAAAAGCAAAAAAAUAAAAAAUAAAUAAAAACCAGAGAUCCAGAGAGAAAGGAUUCCCAACUGCUCUGAUGAUAAUCUGCCUUGCAGACCAGUUUUUAUAUUUGACCAGAGAGCUGAAUCGCAUGAAACAAAGGAAAAAAAAUGAUAUUAGAAGAAGGUACCACUUUAGGCAGUUCAGCAGUUAGAGCAGAAGUAGACAGAGGUGGCUCUAAUAAACAACUCCAGCUUUCUAACUGGCCAAUCCUAAGGCAGAAAUGGGAAAACCUGCCAAAGGGAGAGGAAGAUGAAACUCUAUAAGGGAGGAGAGAUCUAUCCCCAAAUGAUUGAGGCACAUCCCGGCCUCACAUGCAUCCUUAUCCAGCUUAGUUCACAUGGCCCAUCAGUCAACCACUCUUGAGGAUGCUAAACUUCAAGUCCUCUGUACCCCUUUCCUCCAGGUGCUUGCUUGGUCAAUCUGAAACCCUGGGAGGCUGUCUCCUGUGACCAGCACACCUGCACGGCAGAAUGCUGCUAAGAAAACUGCUCUGUGAAGUCACAGCGUGCUGUCUCAAUGACACUACCCAGAAAUCCACAUGGUUCUUCCAGGGGACGUGGCACCCGUUCCCACCUAAGGAACUUGCCAUCACACCAGCAGCCAGCAGCAUGUCACAUUGCUUGUUUCUGCGACCACUUUGAGGAAGAGAAGUGAGGAGGGCCCUCAGGAGGCUGCAAGGCAGCACAUUUCUGUGACCCUGUGAGAUCCAGGAUUUUUUUCGUCUCUAGUGUGUUCCAGAGUAUGGUACAUCUGCCACCGGAGGUCCCUGAGAUGACUCUGGAAGAUCGUUUUCCCAUAUAGGCCAUCACAGAGUAUUGGGUAGAUUUCCC